GGUGAACGCUGGCGGUGUGCCUAAUACAUGCAAGUCGAGCGGAAGCACGAUAAGCUCUUUUUUCUGCUGUUAGCGGGUGGCGGGUGAGUGACGCGUGGAUAAGCAUCCUCUAUGUCUGGGAUAACUUCGGGAGACCGUAGCUGCUACUAGCUCAUAUUUUGUACCGCUUGGUUCAAAAGAUAUUCACGGUUUGCGUGACAGUAUUAGCUGGUGUCGGAUUAGCUAGUUGGCGUGGUAAGGUCACACCAAGGCGACGAUACGUAGCAGGACUGAGAGGAUGAUCGGCCACACUGGAACUGAGACACGGUCCAGACUCCUACGGGAGGCAGCAGUGGGGAAUCUUCGGCAAUGGGCGCAAGCCUGAUCGAGCCACACCGCGUGGGUGAAGAAGGCCUUCGGGUUGUAAAGCCCUGUUAUUGGGAAAGAAAAGAAGUAGGUUAAUCCGCCGCCAUCCUGACGGUACCUAAAGAAUAAGCCCCGGCUAACUUCGUG
rnacentral:rRNA from 1 species